rnacentral:rRNA from 1 species
AUGCAACGACGAGUGAAUGAAGUCAAACAAUGCAAAGAUCAUGGUGCAGUUUUGCAUGAGAACACCGUCUGGCUGCAUAUUGGCUGUAGGUGCGAUGAUACAGCCAAGGUCACAAUAUUCGUGACAUUCCUAUGUGGCCCAGUGUAUAUGUUGUUCUGCGGACAAAGUUCCAAAGAUAUAACGAUACAGCAAAGCAGACACAUGUAUCAUAUACUCCCUCCGCCCGAAAAAGUUUGUCCCAUGCUUGUCCCUCAAAUGGAUAUAUCUAGCACUAACUUGGUGCUAGAUACAACCAUUUGA